CACGUAGGAGGCGAGCGUUGUCCGGAAUCAUUGGGCGUAAAGAGCGCGCAGGCGGCUUGGCAAGUCGGGUGUGAAAUCCCGGGGCUCAACCCCGGGACUGCAUUCGAUACUGUCAGGCUAGAGGUAGGUAGGGGAGAUCGGAAUUCCUGGUGUAGCGGUGAAAUGCGCAGAUAUCAGGAGGAACACCGAUGGCGAAGGCAGGUCUCUGGGCCACUACUGACGCUGAGAAGCGAAAGCAUGGGGAGCGAACAGG
rnacentral:rRNA from 1 species